AUCAGAUAUAAUCAUUAUUCCAUGCUAGUAAUGAUUUUUUUUUCCCCCCAACUCAGAUAUAUGAGCUGGGCUCUACAUACUUCAGGAACCUUUGGAAAAUGCUGCAUAUUUGUGUUUCAGCUGUGAGAUAUCUUCAGCUUCCAGGUAACAGCUUUGUACCUGGAAGGUAAUUCCUGAAGAAGAGCCUCAGCCCUGAUAACUACAAGCAAGUGGUUUGCCAAGUUCAAACUUCAGGACAUUUCCACUGCUGGAGCUGCUCUUGCCGUGGACUAAUGAAGACAUCACAGGGAGUGAACCACAAGACACUCGUGUCUGGAAGACAAACAUCAGCCUGGGUGAUAUGCAAGCUAGCAAAUACCAGAAAGAAUUUGGAGUAAAGAAGUUUUGGGCCUUGUUUAAAUUGUUUCUGCUGACAAGGUUUACCAUUCCUCAGCCUGAAUACGUAUCCAUUAUUGGGUUUUGUGUGAAGGAGCUGACGUUUACCAAGGUUGCUACUGUUACUAUCACAACAGAAGAAGGAACAGCUGCAGCAAACAGGUUAGACCUGUGCCUUCCAAUGAUCCAUUAACAUGAUGGAGCCAAGAUGCAUGGUGAUGGACUCCAGGUACCAGGGCCAUGGUGGGGUAAAGAAAGGUGAGGGGAGGAAGGAAUGGCAGAGUGGGGCUGUUAGGGACUGUUACCUGCAUUCCUCUGCUCCCUGUACUACUCAGUGGUGAGAGGAAUCAGGAAGGAAGGUGUGGUGCUGCACCAGAGAAGAAGCAGGAGGUGGGUGUUAAUUUUUGUUUGUGUUUCUCACCAUCCAACUCUAUUCUAAUUUGCAAUAAAUUGAAUUAAUUUUCCA
rnacentral:lncRNA from 1 species